UUGAGCCGUCACACGGAAU
rnacentral:snRNA from 1 species